rnacentral:rRNA from 1 species
AUUGAACGCUGGCGACAUGCCUUACACAUGCAAGUCGAACGGCAGCACGGGAGCAAUCCUGGUGGCGAGUGGCGAACGGGUGAGUAAUAUAUCGGAACGUGCCCAGUCGUGGGGGAUAACGUAGCGAAAGCUACGCUAAUACCGCAUACGAUCUAUGGAUGAAAGCGGGGGAUCGCAAGACCUCGCGCGAUUGGAGCGGCCGAUAUCAGAUUAGGUAGUUGGUGAGGUAAAGGCUCACCAAGCCGACGAUCUGUAGCUGGUCUGAGAGGACGACCAGCCACACUGGGACUGAGACACGGCCCAGACUCCUACGGAGGCAGCAGUGGGGAAUUUUUGGGACAAUGGGCGCAAGCCUGAUCCAGCAAUGCCGCGUGCAGGAUGAAGGCCU